UACGGAGGGGGCUAGCGUUGUUCGGAAUUACUGGGCGUAAAGGGCGCGUAGGCGGCCUGUUAAGUCGAACGUGAAAUCCCCGGGCUCAACCCGGGAACUGCGUCCGAUACUGGCAGGCUUGAAUUCGGGAGAGGGAUGCGGAAUUCCAGGUGUAGCGGUGAAAUGCGUAGAUAUCUGGAGGAACACCGGUGGCGAAGGCGGCAUCCUGGACCGAGAUUGACGCUGAGGCGCGAAAGCCAGGG
rnacentral:rRNA from 1 species